rnacentral:rRNA from 1 species
UUGGAGGGCAAGUCUGGUGCCAGCAGCCGCGGUAAUUCCAGCUCCAAUAGCGUAUAUUAAAGUUGUUGCAGUUAAAAAGCUCGUAGUCGAAUUUCGGGAUCAAAUAAUCGGUCGUGCCUCCGGUACGUACUGGUUUUAUUGGUUCCUCCCUUCUGACGAACCAUGAUGUCAUUAAUUUGAUGUGGUGGAGAAUCAGGACUGUUACCUUGAAAAAAUUAGAGUGCUUAAAGCAGGCUAUUGCCUGAAUACAUUAGCAUGGAAUAAUGAAAUAGGACGGCAUGGUUCUAUUUUGUUGGUUUCUAGGAUCACCGUAAUGAUUAAUAGGGAUAGUUGGGGGCAUUAGUAUUCAAUUGUCAGAGGUGAAAUUCUUGGAUUUAUUGAAGACUAACUUCUGCGAAAGCAUUUGCCAAGGAUGUUUUCAUUAAUCAAGAACGAAAGUUAGGGGAUCGAAGACGAUCAGAUACCGUCGUAGUCUUAACCAUAAACUAUGCCGACUAGGGAUCGGACGAUGUUAAUUUUUUAAUGACUCGUUCGGCGCCUUACGGGAAAC